rnacentral:rRNA from 1 species
UAGUCCACGCCGUAAACGAUGAGUGCUAAUUCUGGGGAUUUUUCUCUGGGGUAAAGCUAACGCGUUAAGCACUCCGCCUGGGUAGUACGAUCGCAAGAUUAAAACUUAAAGGAAUUGACGGGGGCCCGUACAAGCGGUGGAGCAUGUGGUUUAAUUCGAUGAUAACCGAAAAACCUUACCAGCCCUUGACAUAUACAUUGGGGUUACACGAAAGUGGACUUUCAUUUAGUUGGGUGUAUACAGGUGUUGCAUGGCUGUCGUCAGCUCGUGUCGUGAGAUGUUGGGUUAAGUCCCUUAACGAGCGCAACCCUUGCCACUAUUUGCCAGCGAGUUAUGUCGGGGACUAUAGUGGGACUGCUAUCGAAAGGUAGAGGAAGGAAAGGAUGAUGUCAAGUCAUCAUGGCCCUUAUGGGCUGGGCUACACACGUGCUACAAUGGACAAUACAAUGUGUUGCAAUAUAGUAAUAUGGAGCUAAUCACAAAAAUUGUUCUCAGUUCGGAUUGAGGCUUGCAA